rnacentral:rRNA from 1 species
CAGUCGCCGCGGGAAUACGAAGGGUGCAAGCGUUACUCGGAAUUACUGGGCGUAAAGCGUGCGUAGGUGGUGGUUUAAGUCCGUCGUGAAAGCCCUGGGCUCAACCUGGGAAUUGCAGUGGAUACUGGAUCACUAGAGUGUGGUAGAGGAUAGUGGAAUUUCCGGUGUAGCAGUGAAAUGCGUAGAGAUCGGAAGGAACAUCUGUGGCGAAGGCGACUAUCUGGGCCAACACUGACACUGAGGCACGAAAGCGUGGGGAGCAAACAGGAUUAGAUACCCCCGUAGUCCCUGUCUCUUAUAC